rnacentral:rRNA from 1 species
CACGAACGCUGGCGGCAGGCUUAACACAUGCAAGUCGAACGGGUGCAGCAAUGCAUCAGUGGCAGACGGGUGAGUAACACGUGGGAACCUUCCUAGGGGUACGGAACAACUCAGGGAAACUUGAGCUAAUACCGUAUACGUCCGUGAGGAGAAAGAUUUAUCGCCCUUAGACGGGCCCGCGUCGGAUUAGCUAGUUGGUGGGGUAACGGCCUACCAAGGCGACGAUCCGUAGCUGAUCUUAGAGGAUGAUCAGCCACACUGGGACUAAGACACGGCCCAGACUCCUACGGGAGGCAGCAGUGGGGAAUCUUGGACAAUGGGGGCAACCCUGAUCCAGCCAUGCCGCGUGAGUGAAGAAGGUCUUCGGAUUGUAAAGCUCUUUUGCCAGGGACGAUAAUGACGGUACCUGGAGAAUAAGCCCCGGCAAACUUCGUGCCAGCAGCCGCCGUAACAC